GGGUGUUUGCAUUGCGUGUUGUGAUGUAGCAGGUUUUUAGCGCUGGUCGGGCCGCCACG
rnacentral:ncRNA from 1 species